GCUUAACACAUGCAAGUCGAGGGGCAGCAUUCCUGUUUGCUUGCAAACUGGAGAUGGCGACCGGCGCACGGGUGAGUAACACGUAUCCAACCUGCCGAUAACUCGGGGAUAGCCUUUCGAAAGAAAGAUUAAUACCCGAUGGUAUAAUCAGACCGCAUGGUCUUGUUAUUAAAGAAUUUCGGUUAUCGAUGGGGAUGCGUUCCAUUAGGCAGUUGGUGAGGUAACGGCUCACCAAACCUUCGAUGGAUAGGGGUUCUGAGAGGAAGGUCCCCCACAUUGGAACUGAGACACGGUCCAAACUCCUACGGGAGGCAGCAGUGAGGAAUAUUGGUCAAUGGACGCGAGUCUGAACCAGCCAAGUAGCGUGAAGGAUGACUGCCCUAUGGGUUGUAAACUUCUUUUAUAUGGGAAUAAAGUUUUCCACGUGUGGAAUUUUGUAUGUACCAUAUGAAUAAGGAUCGGCUAACUCCGUGCCAGCAGCCGCGGUAAUACGGAGGAUCAGAGCGUUAUCCGGAUUUAUUGGGUUUAAAGGGAGCGUAGGUGGACAGUUAAGUCAGUUGUGAAAGUUUGCGGCUCAACCGUAAAAUUGCAGUUGAUACUGGCUGUCUUGAGUACAGUAGAGGUGGGCGGAAUUCGUGGUGUAGCGGUGAAAUGCUUAGAUAUCACGAAGAACUCCGAUUGCGAAGGCAGCUCACUGGACUGCAACUGACACUGAUGCUCGAAAGUGUGGGUAUCAAACAGGAUUAGAUACCCUGGUAGUCCACACAGUAAACGAUGAAUACUCGCUGUUUGCGAUAUACAGUAAGCGGCCAAGCGAAAGCAUUAAGUAUUCCACCUGGGGAGUACGCCGGCAACGGUGAAACUCAAAGGAAUUGACGGGGGCCCGCACAAGCGGAGGAACAUGUGGUUUAAUUCGAUGAUACGCGAGGAACCUUACCCGGGCUUAAAUUGCAUUUGAAUAUAUUGGAAACAGUAUAGCCGUAAGGCAAAUGUGAAGGUGCUGCAUGGUUGUCGUCAGCUCGUGCCGUGAGGUGUCGGCUUAAGUGCCAUAACGAGCGCAACCCUUAUCUUUAGUUACUAACAGGUCAUGCUGAGGACUCUAGAGAGACUGCCGUCGUAAGAUGUGAGGAAGGUGGGGAUGACGUCAAAUCAGCACGGCCCUUACGUCCGGGGCUACACACGUGUUACAAUGGGGGGUACAGAAGGCAGCUACCUGGUGACAGGAUGCUAAUCCCAAAAGCCUCUCUCAGUUCGGAUCGAAGUCUGCAACCCGACUUCGUGAAGCUGGAUUCGCUAGUAAUCGCGCAUCAGCCAUGGCGCGGUGAAUACGUUCCCGGGCCUUGUACACACCGCCCGUCAAGCCAUGAAAGCCGGGGGUACCUGAAGUACGUAACAGCAAGGAGCGUCCUAGGGUAAAACUGGUAAUUG
rnacentral:rRNA from 1 species